GGUUCCCCGUCUCCCACACACCGUGUGUCACAUUCAUUUGUGCGCAUGGUGCGUGGGGGGAUCGAUGGCAGUCCGUGCAUUCACUUGCACGGUCUGCCCAAAUGACAUGUGGUGCUUCCUUGUGUGGGCGGGUUUAUUCACGUAACCCCGUCCGUUUCAAGCCGCACUCGAGUAUUCAUCUUGUAUGUCUCUCGACCUCGACGGCUAGUAUCGCAAUGAACGUGGCGUGCAGGGACCUCACCGUCUCUGUCGCCAUGCWWYCCUCCACAUARCAUUGGAAACCYAAMACUUUCU
rnacentral:misc_RNA from 1 species